rnacentral:rRNA from 1 species
AUGUCGACAAUGAAGGGCGUCGACGACGAGUUCCUCGGCGUCGGCGACAAGCCAGGGCUGGAUAUCUGGUGUAUUAUGGGCACCAAUGUAGUCCCAAUUGCAAAAUCCUUCCAUGGCAAGUUCUACACUGGGAACUGCUAUAUCAUACUCCAUACAGCUGAAGUCAAGAGCGGAACUCGAAGGCAUAAUGUGCAUUACUGGAUAGGGGAGGAGGCCAAAGAGGAAGAUUGUUUGAUGGCCUCUGACAAGGCCGUUGAGUUGGAUGCGGCGCUGGGCUCUCACGCGAUCCAGUACAGGGAAACACAAGGCGAAGAAUCCGACAAGUUCUUGUCAUACUUCAAACCAUGCAUCAUCCCUGUACAAGGUAGCUUCUCUUCGCACUGGAGAAGAUCUGGGGAUGAAUGCGACGGGACCACGAUGUUUCGGUGCGAAGGAGAGCAUGUAGCUCGUCUAAGAGAAGUUCCAUUUUCGCGGUCCUCUCUGGAUCAUAAGGCGGCAUUUAUAGUGGACACACCAUCCAAGAUUUUCCUUUUCAGCGGUUGUCAUUCUUGCAUACAAACAAGGGCUAUGGCACUAGAUGUCAUAAAGCAUCUGAGAGAAAACCGACACUGCGGCAGAUGUGAGAUCGGGAUAAUAGAGGAUGGAAAGCUUGCUGGUGAUUCAGAUGCUGGUGAGUUUUGGAACCUCUUUGGAGGCUAUGCGCCUAUUCCUCGUGAUGUACCAGACGCAGCCAAUGGGGGACCGAUGACUACCUCACCCAAGAAACUUUUUUGGAUUAACAAGAGAAUCCUUGUUCCCAUGGAGACACAUGUUUUAGAAAGAGAAAUGCUGAAGUCCGACAGAAGUUACAUACUGGACUGUGGAGCUGAAAUAUUCUUGUGGAUAGGGAUGACAACACUAGUUUCAGAGAAGAAGACAUCUGCUACCGCAUUAGAGGAGUACGUACACUUACAAGACAGAUCAUCAAUUGGCCGCACUGUUAUAAUGACUGAAGGUCAUGAAAUUGUCGAUUUUAAGCUGCAUUUUCAGCAUUGGCCUAAGAAUGUUGUGCAGAAGUUGUACGAGGCAGGGCGGGAGAAAGUGGCAGCAAUUUUCAAGCAUCAGGGAUAUGAUGUUGCAGAAAUUCCAGAUGAUAAACCUCGGCAGCUCAUCAGUAGUAAUGGUUGUCUGAAGGUCUGGCUGGUGGACCGUGGUUGUGUAACACUCCUUUGCACCGAGGAGCUGGAGCAACUUUACAACGGAGAUUGCUAUAUCAUACAGUACAGCUACGCUGAAGAUGGAAAAGAUUAUCAUCUGUUCCUUGCUUGGUUUGGACAAGAUAGUGUACAGGAAGAUAGAGUUGCCACAGUUUCAUUGAUGCCAAGCAUGGCUGAUUCAGUCAAAGGACGUGCAGUUGUGGGGCAAGUGCUUGAGGGCAGAGAACCAGAGUUGUUUUUCCUAGUAUUCAAGUCACUGAUCAUAUUCAAGGGUGGCAGGAGUACUGCAUAUAAGAACUCUAUUCUGCAGAAAAGCAAUAGAACUGAACUGUACCAGAAAGAUGGGGCCGCAUUAUUCCGGGUUCAAGGGCUGAGACCUGAUUGCAUACAAGCCAUUCAGGUUCAUCUGGCUGCAAGUUCGCUUAAUUUGUCACACUGUUACAUUUUGCAAGACGGCGCUUCUUUCUUUACAUGGCUAGGAAGUCUUUCUUCACCCAGUGACCAUGUUCUACUUGAUAGAAUGAUGGAUAAGUUGUGUCCACUGAAGCAAUCAUUGUUAGUAAGAGAAGGUUCUGAACCUGACCGUUUCUGGACAACAUUAGGAGGAAGAUCAGAAUACUCCAAAGAAAAGUGUGUCAAGGGUUGGCCAACAGAUCCACAUCUGUAUACGUGUACUUUUCAACAAUGUCUGUUCAAGGCAAAGGAGGUAUUCAGCUUCUCGCAGGAUGACCUGGCAACUGAGGAGACGUUGAUACUGGACUGCGGCGAACAAAUCUUCGUCUGGGUUGGACUUCACUCAGGUGUCACGUCCAAGGAGCACGCCCUCGACUUCGGCAAGAUGUUCCUUCAGGCAGGCAUUGCUUGGGAUGGACCACGGUCGAUCACUGACACAACCGUGUAUGCUGUCGCGGAAGGCGAUGAACCUGCAUUUUUCACCAGCUUCUUCAACUGGGAUAGCUCAAAACAAGCUGCAGCUAUGCUGGGCAACUCAUUUGAGAGGAAGCUGGCAAUGCUGAAAGGGCUUUCACCAAAAUUGGAGUCACCGGACAGGAGCUUGCGCAAGUCUUCGUCGCGAAGACAGGGGAUGUUGUCAGAGCCGACGACGCCGGAGCAGCAGCAGCAGCAGCAGCCGGCCGCGAGGAGGACGUUCGGGUCUGCCUCUGCCGGGAGGACCGCUAGGGAGAGACUGCCGCCAUCUUCAUCGGCAGCGUCGGCGUCGCCGGCAACACCACCCUGGUCUCUCAAGAGCCGCACGUCGUCGUCGCCGUCGACGCCAGCAACGGCGCGGCGGCUCUUCCCUUCCUCCUCGCUGCACGCGCCGGGGACAGCGGCCGCACAUCUCCCCUCCCCUACGGCCAUAGGGAGUCCUGGUCGACGACGGUGA